rnacentral:rRNA from 1 species
UUGAAAAGAACUUUGAAGAGAGAGUUCAAGAGUACGUGAAACCGUUCAGGGGUAAACCUGAGAAACCCGAAAGAUCGAACGGGGAGAUUCAUCGUCAGCGAGACCGGCUUCGCCGCGGAUCGUGAUGUCGGGGACCUCGCGUCCUCGGCACUCGUCCGCGGUGUUCAUGUCCGGUGACGCCGGCGUGCACUUCUCCCCUAGUAGGACGUCGCGACCCGUUGGGUGUCGGUCUAAGGCCCGGGAGGACGCCUGUCACGUCGUUCGCGUCGUGGCAGACCCCCGGUUGCCCGUCCGACUGCCCGGCGGUACCCGCACGGUAUAGAGCCGCAUUUGACUGCGUCAAGCCUAAGCCGCAGGCUCGGUCAGCGAUUCCCGGUGGUCGGACCUAGCGCCGUCAUCGGGCCUGGCCAGCUGUUGAUCGGCGGUGUUCUCUGACUGGCUCAUUCGAAUAUUACAUUGUACCGGUCGGCGACGCUAUUGCUUUGGGUACUUU